GACUGAGGAGGCUUUUGUGGGGGGAUCGGAGGUGCCCCUGCUCCAGGCGACGCUUAAGGUAGAACUAGGGCUACCUUAAACGUCCUCCACCUUAAGGACGUCUUUCUCAUCCCCCAAAAAGGAGGAAGAAUGAAUGGAUGGGUGCUCAUCAUAGCGGGGGAAGAUCUUGCCUAUCCCAGGGAUGGGAUACAGCUAAAGAUGGGAUGCAGCAGACCUCUCUUGGCCCCUAGCAACCUCUGCUCCAACACAUCCAGGUGACAGUCACAUUGACGAAAAACAACAGGAAAAACUCAGCCGCUAUCAGGACCUCAAGAUUGAACUUCAAAGACUCUAGCAGAAACCAGUGCAGGUGGUUCCGGUGGUGAUGGGCACAUUGGGUGCCGUGCCAAAAGAUCUCAGCCGGCAUUUGGAAACAAUAGACAUUGACAAAAUUACGAUCUGCCAACUGCAAAAGGCCACCCUGCUGGGAUCUGUGCACAUCAUCUGAAAAUACAUCACACAGUCCUAGACACUUGAGAAGUGUUCGACUUGUGAUUUUGUGAUACGAAAUCCAGCAUAUCUAUCUUGUUUGCUGUGUCAUAAUAAAAUAAUACAUUUAUUCUUAUAUGCUGCCACCAUCUCCCCGAAGGGACUCAGGGUGGCUUAGACAUGGCACAAAAGUACAUAAAAACAGAGCGUAAAACACUACACAACAGAUUUGUGUAAAAUAUGUUUAAAACAGCCACUAAGUGAGGUUCAGAAAACCUUUUGGGCAAACAUUGAACUAAGGGGAUCCCGUUUGGAAUUUGGACCUUCAGUUUAAGAAUCAGUGCUCUAUCUGGCAUUUCCACAUGGAGUGUUAACUUCAUGUCCUCUGAGGCCCCUUCCAAUUUUAUGGUUUUAUGUUUCUCCCUCAUCCUCUCAUUUUCUUUCUCUUUGACAUGUUAUGCAGUGUUUAUAGCAGGUAAUUUUUAAUUAAAAAGAAAGAAAGAA